GGGCCCGCACAAGCGGUGGAGCAUGUGGUUUAAUUCGAUGAUACGCGAGGAACCUUACCAGGGCUUAAAUGUACGUUGCAUUAGUUAGAGAUAGCUAUUUCUUCGGACUACGUACAAGGUGCUGCAUGGUUGUCGUCAGCUCGUGCCGUGAGGUGUCAGGUUAAGUCCUAUAACGAGCGCAACCCCUGUUGUUAGUUGCCAGCGAGUGAUGUCGGGAACUCUAACAAGACUGCCGGUGCAAACCGUGAGGAAGGUGGGGAUGACGUCAAAUCAUCACGGCCCUUACGUCCUGGGCUACACACGUGCUACAAUGGCCGGUACAGAGAGCAGCCACACCGUGAGGUGGAG
rnacentral:rRNA from 1 species